rnacentral:rRNA from 1 species
UGUAAGCGUAUACCAAAGUUGUUGCAGUUAAAACGCUCGUAGUCGGAAUUUGGCAGUUCCGGAAGUGUGCACGUCGUGUGCGCACUUUGCGGGGACUGCUUUUGUGGUCUUGCGUAGGAUGAGGCACUUUCAUUAGUGAACGUCCUCACGCAACCACUCUUUACUGUGAGAAAAUCAGAGUGCUCAAAGCAGGCAUUUGCCGUGAAUGUAUUAGCAUGGAAUAAUAGAAUAGGACUCGGUUCUAUUUUGUUGGUUUGUUGGGACUGAGUAAUGAUUAAGAGGGACAGUUGGGGGCAUUUGUAUUCCGGCGCUAGAGGUGAAAUUCUUAGAUUGCCGGAAGACAAACUGCUGCGAAAGCGUCUGCCAAGGGUGUUUUCAUUGA